UUGCAGUAUUGUUGCAUGUUAAUGAGAAUCUCAAUUGACUGCAAAGGGUGUUACAAAAAACUAAGACGAACUCUUCUCAAUAUGAAAGAGUUGGAAACACAUGUGAUAGAAAGACAAUACAACAGAGUAAGCGUAUGCGGGAGAUUCAGGCCAUCUGAUGUGGCCAUAAAGAUUAGGAAAAGGAUGAAUCGAAGGGUGGAGAUUUUGGAAAUUCAAGAGUUUGAUGAAGGAAUUCCUCAAGAACAACCCCUUGAUAAUCAACCUAUGGGAAAUGGUCAUUCUCAUGCUCAUGUUGCAUAAUGUAUAUUAAUUUUUUUUAUGAAACCAGCAUUUGACCUACACUAAGUACAAAGAUGUUUAUACUGGCUGAAAUAGUGUUGGUUGAAAGGUUAUCGGUUCGAUGUUGGAUAACAAAAUUCAAAUUAAUAGUCCCUGGAAUGUUAGAAAUACAGAUAAGUUGUAAAGUCGGUUUUAUGUAAGUGUGAAUAUAUACAUACCAAACAUUCUAGCUACUAAUUGAAUGUAGCUGGAUUAUUUAAACAA